ACUUUUAAAUUGAAGAGUUUGAUCAUGGCUCAGAUUGAACGCUGGCGGCAGGCCUAACACAUGCAAGUCGAACGGUAACAGGAAGCAGCUUGCUGCUUCGCUGACGAGUGGCGGACGGGUGAGUAAUGUCUGGGAAACUGCCUGAUGGAGGGGGAUAACUACUGGAAACGGUGGCUAAUACCGCAUAACGUCGCAAGACCAAAGAGGGGGACCUUCGGGCCUCUUGCCAUCAGAUGUGCCCAGAUGGGAUUAGCUAGUUGGUGAGGUAACGGCUCACCAAGGCGACGAUCCCUAGCUGGUCUGAGAGGAUGACCAGCCACACUGGAACUGAGACACGGUCCAGACUCCUACGGGAGGCAGCAGUGGGGAAUAUUGCACAAUGGGCGCAAGCCUGAUGCAGCCAUGCCGCGUGUAUGAAGAAGGCCUUCGGGUUGUAAAGUACUUUCAGCGGGGAGGAAGGUGUUGUGGUUAAUAACCGCAGCAAUUGACGUUACCCGCAGAAGAAGCACCGGCUAACUCCGUGCCAGCAGCCGCGGUAAUACGGAGGGUGCAAGCGUUAAUCGGAAUUACUGGGCGUAAAGCGCACGCAGGCGGUCUGUCAAGUCGGAUGUGAAAUCCCCGGGCUCAACCUGGGAACUGCAUUCGAAACUGGCAGGCUUGAGUCUUGUAGAGGGGGGUAGAAUUCCAGGUGUAGCGGUGAAAUGCGUAGAGAUCUGGAGGAAUACCGGUGGCGAAGGCGGCCCCCUGGACAAAGACUGACGCUCAGGUGCGAAAGCGUGGGGAGCAAACAGGAUUAGAUACCCUGGUAGUCCACGCCGUAAACGAUGUCUACUUGGAGGUUGUGCCCUUGAGGCGUGGCUUCCGGAGCUAACGCGUUAAGUAGACCGCCUGGGGAGUACGGCCGCAAGGUUAAAACUCAAAUGAAUUGACGGGGGCCCGCACAAGCGGUGGAGCAUGUGGUUUAAUUCGAUGCAACGCGAAGAACCUUACCUGGUCUUGACAUCCACAGAACUUUCCAGAGAUGGAUUGGUGCCUUCGGGAACUGUGAGACAGGUGCUGCAUGGCUGUCGUCAGCUCGUGUUGUGAAAUGUUGGGUUAAGUCCCGCAACGAGCGCAACCCUUAUCCUUUGUUGCCAGCGAUUAGGUCGGGAACUCAAAGGAGACUGCCAGUGAUAAACUGGAGGAAGGUGGGGAUGACGUCAAGUCAUCAUGGCCCUUACGACCAGGGCUACACACGUGCUACAAUGGCGCAUACAAAGAGAAGCGACCUCGCGAGAGCAAGCGGACCUCAUAAAGUGCGUCGUAGUCCGGAUUGGAGUCUGCAACUCGACUCCAUGAAGUCGGAAUCGCUAGUAAUCGUGGAUCAGAAUGCCACGGUGAAUACGUUCCCGGGCCUUGUACACACCGCCCGUCACACCAUGGGAGUGGGUUGCAAAAGAAGUAGGUAGCUUAACCUUCGGGAGGGCGCUUACCACUUUGUGAUUCAUGACUGGGGUGAAGUCGUAACAAGGUAACCGUAGGGGAACCUGCGGUUGGAUCACCUCCUUACCUUAAA
rnacentral:rRNA from 1 species